rnacentral:lncRNA from 1 species
GUCACGAGAGUGACCACAUAUCACUCCCGUCACUAGUAAUGCGGGCUCUUUGCUAGCACCGACCAAAGUAAUCAGCAAAGCCCGUACCAUAAAGGGGUAUCAUGGUCGCACAUGUAAGGUUGGGACGGUCGACAAAUCAUAAAUCUAAUCCCAUUUCCGAAACCACUCACACAAAACCUUUCUGGUACACCACUUCUUUCUCAAGUGGUCAUCCA